CUCUGGCCCGGGAUUGAAGGGCUUUUCCCUGGAAUUGUGCCCCGGCAGGAGCGGGAGGACGAGCUGCGGGCCAUGGCCAGGAAGAUCCGGAUGAAGGAGCGGGAGCGGCGGGAGAAGGAGCGGGAGGAGUGGGAGCGGCAGUACAGCCGCCAGAGCCGCUCCCCGUCCCCGGCACCACGGCACGGUCGGGAAUACAGCUCUUCCCGGAGGCAUUCCCGCUCCCGCUCCCGGAGCCCCCACUACCGGCACUGAGGGGGCUCCUUGGAAUCCAAUAAACCCACAAAUCCA